UGUUUACUAUGGCCGAUGAUCUGGAGCAGCAGCCUCAAGGCUGGCUGAGGAACUGGCUGCCCACGUGGCGCCCCACUUCCAUGUCUCAGCUGAAGAAUGUGGAAGCCAGGAUCCUCCAGUGUCUCCAGAAUAAGUUCCUGGCCAGAUAUGUGUCCCUCCCAAACCAGAAUAAGAUCUGGACAGUGACUAUGAGCCCCGAGCAAAAGGACCACACCUCCCUGGUGAUGGUGCACAGUUUCGGGGGCGGCGUGGGCCUCUGUGUCCUUAACAUGGACUCACUGAGUGCCUGCCGCACACUGCACACCUUCCCUCUGCUUGGCUUCGGGCAAUGCUCAAGGCCAGCAUUCCCGAGGGACCCGGAGGGGGCUGAGGAUGAGUUUGUGACAUCGAUAGAGACGUGGCGGGAGACCAUGGGGAUCCCCAGCAUGAUCCUCCUGGGGCACAGUUUGGGAGGAUUCCUGGCCACUUCUUACUCAAUCAAGUACCCUGAUAGAGUUAAACACCUCAUCCUGGUGGACCCAUGGGGCUUUCCCCUCCGACCAACUAACCGCAGUGAGAUCCGUGCACCCCCAACCUGGGUCAAAGCUGUGGCAUCUGUCCUAGGACAUUCCAAUUCACUGGCUGUUCUUCGAGUAGCUGGGCCCUGGGGACCUGGCCUGGUGCAGCGAUUCCCGCCGGACUUCAAACACAAGUUUGCAGACUUCUUUGAAGAUGAUACCAUAUCAGAGUAUAUCUAUCACUGCAAUGCACAGAAUCCCAGUGGUAAGACGGUAUUCAAAGCCAUGAUGGAGUCCUUUGGCUGGGCCCAGCACCCUAUGCUGGAGCGAAUUCACUUGAUUUGAAAAGAUGUGCCCAUCACCAUGAUCUAUGUGUCCGAUACCUGGAUAGAUACCAGUACGGGAAAAAAGGUGAAGAUGCAGCGGCCGGAUUCCUAUGUCCGAGACAUGGAGAUUGAGGGUGCAUCUCACCACGUCUAUGCUGACCAGCCACACAUCUUCAAUGCUGUGGUGGAGAAGAUCUGCAACUCAGUUGAUUGAGCCACUCUCUGAAGAGGAAGAGGAGAAAGCCAGAGAGUCACUCUUGCCUC